rnacentral:rRNA from 1 species
GAUGAACGCUGGCGGCGUGCCUAAUACAUGCGAGUCGAGCGAACGGACGAGAAGCUUGCUUCUCUGAUGUUAGCGGCGGACGGGUGAGUAACACGUGGAUAACCUACCUAUAAGACUGGGAUAACUUCGGGAAACCGUAGCUAAUACCGGAUAAUAUUUUGAACCGCAUGGUUCAAAAGUGAAAGACGGUCUUGCUGUCACUUAUAGAUGGAUCCACGCUGCAUUAGCUAGUUGGUAAGGUAACGGCUUACCAAGGCAACGAUGCAUAGCCGACCUGAGAGGGUGAUCGGCCACACUGGAACUGAGACACGGUCCAGACUCCUACGGGAGGCAGCAGUAGGGAAUCUUCCGCAAUGGGCGAAAGCCUGACGGAGCAACGCCGCGUGAGUGAUGAAGGUCUUCGGAUCGUAAAACUCUGUUAUUAGGGAAGAACAUAUGUGUAAGUAACUGUGCACAUCUUGACGGUACCUAAUCAGAAAGCCACGGCUAACUACGUG